GAGGAAGCUGAGCAAGCCAUGAGGAGAAGCCCGUAACUCCUUCAGACUCUACAGUUUCAGAGAAAACUGGGAGAAGGGCGAGUGACUGUCCAAAUAAACGAUUUCAUCGUAAUCUGAGAGUUGUGAAGACUGAGCAAAUGACAUCUGAGUAUCAUUUACAUAGUAUCAUAGUAUCAGUAAGAUCUCUGUCCACAACUGUGUAACAUCUGCAACAAAUCCUCGAUGCCAAGAAUCUUUAUUUCACAAGUCAAAGUGGCAGCUGUGACAGGAGCCACGUCUUCUGCAAGGCAUCUCCCACAAACCAUAGCACAUACAGAUCUCUCCAGUCCCCACCACAUCCUUGUUUACCCACGUCAGCUUCUGGUCCAGUUACUCAAAGGCUGUAAAUUUCUGUGUGAAGACUAUAGU